CAGGAAGCGGUGACAGCUGUGACGAAGGCUCAGCCGAAAUUGUCCGCCAGACCAGAUGGAUGGCUAAGCUCAAGUCUCAUCGCUGAAGGUCAUGGCCAGUUUGCAUCUCUGGAAUAAAGAAACAGAGAAAGCAAAGAAUUUGACUGUGUGACUAAUGCACUGAAGCCAAAAGAGAAUGCAACCAGAGGAACUUUACUCACAGUGGCAGCAGCGUGUCAACUGGUAAGUAUGGUUUCUUUUUAUUUCUAACAUUAGAUGUUUAGCUACGCUACCUCCGUUUAGCUUUCCAUUUCAACGGAGUAUUGCACCAUCGUCCUGCAGUGUGAAGCCAUACUUAUAUCUAAUAUAGUGCUUUGUAAGUUGUGCACACCUCCCUCUGCUUCUGUCUCAGAUUGAUUAUUGCAAAUGGUGCACAAAGGCCACAAGACCCAAAAGAAGACACCGAGAUGUGCGCAAGUUGAAUAUGUUCUACUCUUGCGGUUAAUUUGGGAGAAAGCGUUCAAAGGGUUCCUUGUCGUCACACAAACAACCUGCGCUGUUCACUUUUGGUUUUGUAUUCACCACCAUUUUCCCUCAGCCACUCAUCUCCAGGUCAUCGACCUCUUCCCAGUUCUGAACACAUUCUAACCUGCCACUUUUAAAGACUGUAUGUCUUCUCGCUGCAAAACACACAAAUCUUUAUGGCUAUAGGAGAAUCACUGGAGUCAAUCAAGUGUAUGUGUGUGAAACAACCACAUCAUUUCAUUUCCUCUAUAUUGGCAUUUGACAAAAGACCCUUUGAUGAAAUCUUGAGACAUGCUGAAGAAGAGCCGAUCGCUCGUUGGCAGUGGCGCUCUCCUUGGUGCUGAAGUCCACUACACCGUCAACAUGCUUCCCUCACGCAGGAACCCUUGCGUUUACGUCAGACGAAUGCAAUCCCUCUCUGUCUGUCUGUCUUUAUUUUCCUUUGGGUAAAUGCUGGUUGUGCUGUUGUUACUUUUGCUGGACGCAUCCGAAUGUGCUUAAAGGAAAAUGGAACUUAACAGAGCUAUCAGAUGAUUCCACGCUUGAAGCCUUGUCCGUGGGGCAAAGUUGCUUGACAAAUAAAAGACAAUUCCUCCCUGGAUUCCUCUCAUUGCUUUACCCCCUAACUUUCAAAGAGACGCUAUUCCUGAGACGCUCGCCCGAGGUCGUCGAGGAGGGCUUCCCGCAGCGGGAUCCCACCUCCCGCCGCAGACCUUCUGUGGACACGAGGGGCCGCCUCUCUCUGCUACACGUCACUGGAGGCCCGCGGUCUGUGCAAGAGAUUGGAAGGGACGCAGCCGCAGCAGGCCAUCCACAGCGACUUCUGGAUGUCCGGGUUUCGGAAGGCGUAAAUGACGGGGUUGAUGACGGAGCUGCAGGUGGCGGGAAGCACCGUCGCGUAGGUGUAGACGGCCGGGUAGCUGGAGUCCGCCACGAUGGAGUACAUGGCGAACGGCAGCCAGCACGCCCCGAAGGCACACAGGAUGGCCGAUAGGGUGGAGACGCCCUUGGUGGUGGAGAUGGCCACGAACUGGUGCUGCACCGCGAUCUGCUGCGCGUGGCGGAAGGCGAUCUUGCAGAUCUGCAGGUAGAGCUGCAUCAUGAGGGCGAAGACCAGCAGAAAGGCGACAGCGAGCGCCACCGCGUUGCUUUUGGUGACCGGCCUGCAGAUGCUGCACGCUGACUCGUCUCGCAGGCAGUUCCAGCCCAGCGCCGGCAGCAGACCCAGAGUCACGCACGACAGCCAGAUGAAGAGCACCAUCACAUAGGUGAACGUCAGCGUCCGCUCGGUGUGGUAGGUCAGUGCGUUGUACAGCGACAGGUAGCGGUCCACCGUGAUGGCCAGGAUGUUGAGGACGGAGGCCGAGAAGGCCGAGACCAGCAGUGCCGCCGACAGGAGGCUCACAGGCUCCGGCGAGCCGGCCGCCAAGUAGGUGAAGACGAAGUUCAAGACGAGGCCCAGACCGGCCAGCAGGUCCGCCGCCGCCAGCGAGCCAAUCAGAACGAACAUGGGCGCCCUCAGCGUCGGCGUGUAGAAAAGCACCGCGAUGACCAGCGCAUUCUCACAGGAGAUGAGUGUCCCCGUCACACACAGCGCCAUGUGCCACAGGCUCACCUCCGGCGCAGCCGGCUGCAGCUCGGGGGUCAUCCGCACCGCCGGCUCCCAGGAAGAGUUGGACAGCUCCUCCGAGAGGCCCCACGAGGACGACGGCGACAAGGGUGUGGAUGCGUCCACGGGGUCCACGGAGGAGGAGUUGAGGCCGCUCAUGGCUGCCGCCGCCGCCAGCGUCAGGAUCAUGACUGCAGGAGGAGGUGGAAAGGAAGGGGGGAAGCUUGAGAAGCUGACGCCAAAAGCAUGGUGGGAUUGGGGAAAAAUGAAAUGAAGGAGGCAGACAUCCAAUUCGCCUCAUCACCGUCCCCAUCCUCUCAUUCAUUCAUGUGGUCACUCAUUCACUAAAAGCAGCACACACAAGUCAUUCUUCCAUUUGAACGCACACAAAAAAUCGACAUACCGACAAAGGCUUCAGUCUGACGACUUCUGUUCCUCAUCCUGCCCAGGCAAGCAUUAUCAACGAACUCUAUUUUUAGAGCACCUCUAAAAUUGGUGCAUGACGUCCUGGGGCAGGCGCGAUGCUCGAGCUGUGCGUGUGUGCAAUUUAUAGAAGCCCUUCUAAAUCAUUAUCUUCUUAUGAUGAUGAUGAUGAUGCAGUCUGGGAAUUAAAAAAGAAAAUCUGGCUAAUUUUAGCUCAGCGGGCCAAAAACUAUCCGACGCUCCAUUCACAAGAAAAAGAAGAAAAAAGGCUAGCCACCCGCACACCCACCACCCUCCCACCGCCUGCUCCUCCCCCUCUUCUGUCUGAUUCUUGGAAGGUCACCACCGCCGACAAAGACCAUCCCCCCCCCACAUCACAUCCACCACCCCACCCACACUUCGGCUGCGGGGUGCACAGCACUGCAGUGAAAGGAAAAAAAAAAAAAAAAAGAAAGAAAAUGUCCAAAAUAGCCUUCCAGACUUGUCACCUCCAGCAAACCAGGGUUGGACAUGCAGCAGCAGUAACAGCAUACAUAAUAAUCAUAAUAAUAGAGUAGGAAGAAGUCACCUUUCAUUCAGAUGCAGCAGUGCAUGAGCGGAAGAGGAGGGGAGUAGGGGUGUGUGGGAUCGAGAUGGGAGUGCACGUCACACUGAAGAGGGGGGGGUAAAAAGGAAAAAGAUUACCAGCAGGAAAGCAGCAGCUCUUUCUCCUCCUCCUCUUCUCCUUUUUCUUGUGCACCCUCUUUAUCUAGGCAGUUAGCAUGGUACGCCUGGGCGCUUGACUGGCAUGGUUAGGAGACUGCCGUCUUCACGCCGCAUCCACAUCCUCCCUCCUCCACACUCGUGACGUCAACUAAAGUCUCUUCGGCACUCUCCUCCGGCCAGCGUCAUCGUGAAUCACGCCAGGCGGGGUGGAAACCAGCCAGUGAGUGAGCGCACACGCUGCUUCGUGGGCCUCAUUUAUCCUCGGCGCACAAGGAUGAUGAUGAUGAUAUGGAAAUAUUUAAUGGUAUGCACCUCACACACAAUGACGCACCAGAACAUUACGGAGAAGGUUAUUGGGAAAUUCCUGAUCCUAGAAAUGUAGCCACGACUAAACAUUGCACUAUUAGGCCGGAUGACCUUUCUUAAAUGUCGCCACAGGAGUUGAUGCAAUCUGGUGCAGCGCUCACACGCAAGACCAAUUUCAAUGCCAUCUUUGCUUUGUGUUGCCAAACUCAAAUGGACAAACGUUUUCAGUGACGCCCACACAAAAGCAUGCGUAAAUAUCCUUAAACAUGAAGCCCGCAUACAGAAAACGUACAAGUCAGUCACUCCACAUCUUCCUAGAAAAUGACUUUGUUGUAAACAAUGAAUGAGAACGUGGUCUUGAUCUGGAAAAAGAAACCAAAGACAGCAUUCUUUUAAAUGUGCCAUAUUUUACCAAACCAACUUUUUCUAGUAUUUGAGAUGUAACACUGGCUCUUCGUAAACGUGAAAUAUGAAUUAGAAUCAUCUACGCAUUCCUGAGCUCCAGACGUUUUUCUGCCGAGAGGACUGAAAUCAGCUCAUUGGAAUUUCUCAAGCUUAUCUACGUCACGAGGGAAGAUCUCCACCUACCUCUCUGCUCCCGAGCCAGUACUGUCAACAUAACAAACGUGCUCUCACAAGUGGUUCUUCAACAUGGAGGCAAACAAUCAGAGGAAAGGGGGGCGGUCUUAACCAAAUAUGGACAACGCGGAUACAAAACUGGGUUUAAACAGAAGUAGCUGUCAGUGGGCCCUUUUCUGGACAAACCAAAGUGUUUUUUUAAAAUGAAAUUGACACUUUUAUAAUAAGUCCAUGUUAGAGAAUCAGUCUACGGCAGUCUAAAUAGCCAAAAUAUGGGACCUUUACAUUUUGGAAAAGUCCGUUUGAACGCAGACCGUUUUGACAAUUUGUCGCUUUUUAUGCACUUGGCUUUUGUUUUCCUCAUUUUACUAGAAAGGUCGCUGAUUUGAAGACUAUGAAUAGGGUUCAUGACGUUCGCCGUACAUGGCGCAUACCCUUUGAAGACGUUAGGAAAAUAAACAGCAACCGGGGGUCGCACUUGACGGGUGUCACAUUGGGCGCAUAGAUUAUGGACAUUAUCUAAUUUGGACACAAAUCUCCGUCAGCACCCCACCGCCGUCCUCCUUUUGACAAUUGGCAAAGGGGCGCAAUUGCUGGCCAUCCCGCAGGGCGCCAUUCGGUCCAGGACCGCUAUGCCCGUGCGACUGGACUGACAAAGUGAGUGGUCCUUUUAUGUGUCCGCAACGCUCCCUGUGUGGCUGGUUUCUUUGUCACGUGACAAGAACAGCAGUUGUUGCCACGGAGGCCAUUCAAGAUGCUAGUCUGGAAGAGGACACAGAAGCUUCUAUUUUGUCGACCCACUGCGCAACUAUGGCGCUUGGGCACCCUUUCGCAACUUGAGUGUGAAAGUGCUAAAAGCAACAUAGCGCACCGAUCAAUUGUUGUCCAAUCAUUGCUGGUCCAUUGUUUGGAAUCUUCCGGAAGCCUCGUUGUGUUCAAGUUGCUUUCAAACACAGCUGCUCUGCCAUUGUCUGUAGAAGGUCGCCACGCUCGCCGUGACUCCCGGCCAUUUGCUCCCUCAAUCUGGUGUUGUCAUGGUAAUCAAUACACUGACCAGUCCAACACACACCACCGUCUUUGUUUGUUGCACUCUGCGUGUGUUAUUGUUAUUGAAUUGUCCUCGUGGAUUCCCUCAAGUGCUGACGUGCAGCCUGGCCGGCAUUUGUAGAUCAACAUGGCCGCCACGAGCAGAUUACUCAAACAGUGGUAUUUAUAGCUUCAAUAGAUGACGCAAGAGUGGACGGGGAUGUGUCUUCCUUCCCUCCUUGUUUUCAACACUUCCAUGGGUUCAGCAUGUGCCCAUGGAGGUCCAAAGGAGGAGCACCUCGGUGAGGUCCCCAUCCACCCAGCAGCUGCUCCUCACGGAGAUUAGUCUGUCUCGCUGAUCAAAAGGAAAAAUAUGUCUCCCCUUCAGAGGUGUUGCUCCCUAUUGGUGGAAGGCAACACUCGGUGGCAACACAGCAGCACACAUCAGGCCCACCUGCAAAUAAGCUCUACUGCUGCAUCCCUUCGUCUUCUCAUCUAUCACCGAGACGCUAAUCGGCGGAUCGAUAAGCCUUUGUUCCCUGUGGUCCAUUAAUGACCUUUCAAAAUGUAUGUGUGGACACAGUCAAUGAAGCGAUCACUCCUAAAACUAAAAUCCAUGCGCAGCUCCUUAUUUACACCAUAUGGUCUCCUUGUUUAGUAUCGGUGUGUGUUGUGGUGUUAAAAUGGAAUUGUUUCCCUGUGAGUUGGCUCUCCUGCCUGUGUUUUGACUUUUAACCACUAAGUGGCGAGAGGAGCAACGACGUGCAGUGGAUGCAAAUUGCAAUUAGCCCCCAACACCAGAUGAGGGUUGCCGAGACGACUGCCGUUUGCUGUACUGCAUCCUGUCUUGCUUCUGGUUUUGAGCGAUUCGUUUGAAACUUUUGCUUUUGGUUGUAUCCCUGGUUUCGAGAUCAUUCCUAGUUGUGCCGUCCUUCAUUGCAACCUUCCUAAACCACGUUACCCACGUAUUCUCCUUUUUGGGUUAGGGUAUUUUUAAGUAGCAUUGUAGUUUUCGGUCUUCGAUCCUUUUGUUUGUUGGAAUAUUACAUAAUGGUAUUCCCGAUGGCGGCCAGUCAGGGCCAUCAAGGCCUUCUGUGCUGACUUGACCCGAUCACAAACACUGGCUUACAUUUACAACCUAAAUUAUUUUUCAUUUUUUUUCAUUUAAGUUUUUCCCCAGCACUCUCUUCUCUUCGUUUGCUAGGGUUUCUCUAGGCUGCCGUGCUUCGAGUCCAUGUUUGUCCAAUCAGAUUUCAGUUUCUGCGUAUUGCCAUGCCAAUCUAAUCUUCCCCUACAAGGCCGUCACAAUCAGUAGUGCUGGCCCAUGGAAUGUACAACCCCAAUUCCAAUGAAGUUGGGAUGUUGUGUUAAACAUAAAUAAAAACAGAAUACAAUGAUAUGCAAAUCAUGUUCAACCUAUAUUUAAUUGAAUACACUACAAAGACAAGAGAUUUAAUGUUCAAACUGAUUAACUUUUUUUUCCAGCAAAUAUUCAUUCACUAAUAAUUUUAUGGCUGAAACACUUUCCAAAAAAGCGAGGACAGGUGGAAAAAAAGAAUGAGAAAGUUGAGGAAUGCUCAUCAAACACCCGUUUGGAACAUCCCACAGGUGAACAGGCUAAUUGGGAACAGGUGGGUGCCAUGAUUGGGUAUAAAAGGAGCUUGCCUGAAUUGCUCAGUCAUUCACAAGCAAAGAUGGGGUGAGGUUCACCUCUUUGUGAACAAGUGUAUGAGAAAAUACUCGAAGAGUUUAAGGACAAUGUUCCUCAACGUACAAUUGCAAGGAAUUAAGGGAUUUCAUCAUCUACGGUCCAUAAUAUCAUCAAAAGGUUCAGAGAAUCUGGAGAAAUCACUGCAUGUAAGCGCCAAGGCCAAAAACCGACAUUGAAUGCCCGUGACCUGUGUAAAGGAUAUCACCGCAUGGACUCAGGAACACUUCAGAAAACCAAUGUCAGUAAAUACAGUUCGGCGCUGCAUCCGUAAGUGCAACUUGAAACUCUACUAUGCAAAGCAAAAGCCAUUUAUCAACAAUACCCAGAAACGCCGCCGGUUUCUCUGGGCCCGAGCUCAUCUAAGAUGGACUGAUGCGAAGUGAAAAAGUGUUCGGUGGUCCGACAAAUCCACAUUUCAAAUUGUUUUUGGAAAUUGUGGUGUCGUGUCCUCCGGGCCAAAGAGGAAAAGAACCAUCCGGACUGUUAUGGACGCAAAGUUCAAAAGCCAGCAUCUGUGAUGGUAUGGGGCUGUGUUAGUGCCAAUGGCAUGGGUAACUUACACAUCUGUGAAGGCACCAUUCAUGCUGAAAGGUACAUAUAAGUUUUGGAGAAACAUAUGCUGCCAUCCAAACGACAUCUUUUUCACGGACACCCCUGCUAAUUUUAGCGAGACAAUACCAAACCACAUUCUGCACGUGUUACAACAGCGUGGCUUCGUAGUAAAAGAGUGCGGGUACUCGACUGGCCUGCCUGAAGUCCAGACCUGUCUCCCAUUGAAAAUGUGUGGCGUAGUAUGAAGCGUAAAAUACCACAACGGAGACCCCGGACUGUUGAACAGCUGCCGUGUGCUGUUAUAUUGCCUUUCUGUAUAGCAUUGUUGGCCUGUAUGAUGGCGUUAAUGUGAUACUGGUCCGAUUAAGAGGUGGAUUAAGUUGGGUCAGUCCCCACUGAAGGCCCAAGUACCAAAAUGCACAGCCUGCCACUGCCUUUUCCUACUCUUCAGUGCCGCUUUUUGUUGGACCAUUAUUCUCGUUUGCUAAUUUUGAAGUUAAGACUUGCUUACAUUCCACAACACAUUGUAGCUGGUUCAGGGAAAGCCAGUCUUCAAUCGUCACAGAAACAAAGCAAGUAUGAUGCAUGAUACCUCAUUUUCAAAUUCAUGUAAUACUGUCAAAAGGGGGCAGAAAUUGUGACCAAGUCUAAUUAUGUGCCAUAAUAAUGACAAUUAAAUGUUUGUUAUUUAGCAAAGUAAAGAACUGUAAAGGCUACUUGUUUUUAUUCAUCAGCAUGGUGUUGUCAAUGAUGUCAUUCAAAAGAGAAAAGGGGCUGCAGAAAUGGAUGCCAUGUGUUCGUAACUAAGAAAAAAAAAUUAAUACAUGGAUGUGCAAUAGUACACAUGCACGCCGAUAAUCACAACACUAUGAUUUCCCUCACCCACUUUGAGAUGUGGUCAUUAUCGUGCUGCUAUUUCUCUUUUAUUGUUCUGCACCAGGCGGCAUGGUGGAGGACUGGUUAAAGCGUCUCCCUCACAGUUCUGAGGUCUGGGGUUCGAUCCCCGGCACCGCCUGUGUGGAGUUUGCAUGUUCUCCCCGUGCCUGUGUGGGUUUUUUCUCCGGGUACUCCGGUUUCCUCCCACACCCAAAAGACAUGCGUGGUAGGUUAAUUGAUGACUCUAAAUUGCCCGUGAGUGUGAAUGGUUGUUUGUUUAUAUGUGCCCUGCGAUUGGCUGGCAACCAGUUCAGGGUGUACCCCGUCUCCUGCCCGAUGAUAGCUGGGAUAGGCUCCAGCACUCAUGCGACCCUUGUGAGGUGAAGCGGCUCAGAAAAUGGAUGGAUGGAUGGAUGUUCUGCACCAAAAGAGGCUAACCCAACACGAAAGAAUGGCCUGAACUGAUGUUUAUUUCAAGAGGGGAGUGCAAAACCUGCAUCUUCACCUUUGUUAGGGUAAACUCAGCCCAUGGAUAAAAGAUGUCAGUAAAUUUGCAGGUAAUUGGAGGGUUAAUAAUAAUUGCUCGGUGCAUUUGCAUCUGAUUGCUGUGUGCGCGUGUGCGCUCAACAGUUUAACCUGGGAACCGCAGCGACUGAAGCUUUCUAAUCUGUCUGUCUCUUAUCCCUCCUCUGCCCUGCCUCGCUGCCUGCCAUCUCCACGUCUCCCUCUCUCCCGCCUUCCUCUCUCCGUCCCUCCCUCCGUUCUUUCUACCUGAUCCAACUCGUUUCCGGCACCGCGAGCACCACCGCGGCUGCAGGGGAGGAGGAGGAGGA